rnacentral:rRNA from 1 species
CAGCUCAAAUUUGAAAUCUGGCUCCUUCGGGGUCCGAGUUGUAAUUUGUAGAGGGUGUUUCGGGCGCGAUGCCGGUCUAAGUUCCUUGGAACAGGACGUCGUAGAGGGUGAGAAUCCCGUAUGCGACCGGCGAUCAAGCCCGUGCGAAGCCCCUUCGACGAGUCGAGUUGUUUGGGAAUGCAGCUCAAAAUGGGUGGUAAAUUUCAUCUAAAGCUAAAUACUGGCCAGAGACCGAUAGCGGACAAGUAGAGUGAUCGAAAGAUGAAAAGCACUUUGGAAAGAGAGUCAAACAGUACGUGAAAUUGUUGAAAGGGAAGCGCUUGCAAUCAGACCGGUCCGGAGGCGAUCAGCCGCUGCUCGUCAGCGGUGCACUCGCCUGCGAUCCGGCCAGCAUCGGUUUGGGCGGCGGGAUAAAAGUCCCGGGAAUGUAGCUUCCUCCGGGGAGUCUUAUAGCCCGGGUCGCAAUGCCGCCCGCCCGGACCGAGGACCGCGCUUCGGCUAGGAUGCUGGCGUAAUGGUUGCAAGCG